AGGGUUCCAUGUGAACAGCAGUUGAACGUGCGUCAGUCGGUCCUGAGAGAUAGGCGAGCACCGGGAGUCGGGUUGAGAUCCCCGAAUCCGGAGUGGCAGAGACGAGCGCCGCAAGGCGUCCAGUGCGGUAACGCGACCGAUCCCGGAGAAGCCGGCGGGAACCCCGGGGAGAGUUCUCUUUUCUUCAGCAUCAUCUUCUCAAUUGCCAUUUCUUCUCUCUUGGCCAAAACCAUCACUGUGGUGCUGGCUUUCCUGGCCACAAAACCAGGAAA
rnacentral:ncRNA from 1 species